rfam:Schistosoma mansoni strain Puerto Rico chromosome 2, complete genome
AUCCAUCUGACGAGUCCGAAUUAGGAUGAAACACGCGUCCUGGAU